rnacentral:rRNA from 1 species
UUCUACUUAGGAGGAAGGGCAGUAAGUUAAUACCUUGCUGUUUUGACGUUACCAACAGAAUAAGCACCGGCUAACUUCGUGCCAGCAGCCGCGGUAAUACCAAGGGUGCAAGCGUUAAUCGGAAUUACUGGGGCGUAAAGCGCGCGUAGGUGGUUCAGCAAGUUGGAUGUGAAAUCCCCGGGGCUCAACCUGGGGAACUGCAUCCAAAACUACUGAACUAGAGUACGGGUAAAGGGUGGUGGGAAUUUCCUGUGUAGCGGUGAAAUGCGUAGAUAUAGGAAGGAACACCAGUGGCGAAGGCGACCACCUGGACUGAUACUGACACUGAGGUGCGAAAGCGUGGGGAGCAAACGGGAUUACAUACCCUGGUAGUCCACGCCGUAAACCAUGUCGACUAUGCGUUGGGAUCCUUGAGAUCUUAGUGGCGCAGCUAACGCGAUAAGUCCACCGCCUGGGGAGUACGGCCGCAAGGUUAAAACUCAAAUGAAUUGACGGGGGCCCGCACAAGCGGUGGAGCAUGUGGUUUAAUUGAAGCAACGCGAAGAACCUUACCUGGCCUUGACAUGCUGAGAACUUUCCAGAGAUGGAUUGGUGCCUUCGGGAACUCAGACACAGGUGCUGCAUGGCUGUCGUCAGCUCGUGUCGUGAGAUGUUGGGUUAAGUCCCGUCACGAGCGUAACCCUUGUCCUUAGUUACCAGCACCUCGGGUGGGCACUCUAAGGAGACUGCCGGUGACAAACCGUAGGAAGGUGGCGAUGAUGUCAAGUCAUCAUGGCCGUUACGGCCAGGGCUACACACGUGCCACAAUGGUCGGUACAAAGGGUUGCCAAGCCGCGAGGUGGAGCUAAUCCCAUAAAACCGAUCGUAGUCCGGAUCGCAGUCUGCAACUCGAUUGCGUGAAGUCGGAAUCGCUAGUAAUCGUGAAUCAGAAUGUCACGGUGAAUACGUUCCCGGGCCUGGUACACCCCCCCCGUCACACCAUGGGAGUGGGUUGCUCCAGAAGUAGUUAGUCUAACCGCAAGGGGGACGGUAACCACGGAGUGAUUCAUGACUGGGGUGAAGUCGUAACUAAUAGAGCGUGAUGCAGUUCGU